rnacentral:lncRNA from 1 species
GACAGCCAAAGCCAGGGCCCGUCCUUCUGGUUUUCUGGAGACGCUUGCUCUUGGGACCCAGCUGCCACGCUGUGAGGAAGCCCAACUAGCCUAUGUAGAGAGACCACAUGGAGAGGCCACUUAGACCACAUGGAGAGACCACAUGGAGGGGCCACAUGGAGAGGCCACGUGACAAGGCCACAUGGAGAGGUCUCAUGGAGAGGCCACACGAGGCCACAUGGAGGUGUUCUGGCCACAGGCCCCACUGAGGUCCAGGUCAACACCAGCAUUGACCACCAGACCUGCGAGUGAAGAUGCUUCCAGGAGACUUCAGUCCCCAACUGCUGAGUCACUGUGGUGGAGGCUCCAGACACCAUGGAACAGAUAACUCGUAGUGCCAUCCCCUGUGCAAAUACCUGCCCUGGAGAAGCCGUGAGCACCCCACAGUGGCCGUUCUGGACCCUGAACUUGGGAGUGCCUUGUUAUGUACAAGACAGAAUGUUUCUGGCUAUUGCUCAGCCUUGGCGCUCCUCUCCCCCGCUUGCCUGUCACUGUAAUGACAGUCUCACAUGUUCCUCUGAAGGAAGGGCUCCUGGGCUUCCUCGCUGCACACAUUCCCAUCCUCUCUCCCCUGCUGCAGCCAUUGGCGUCGGCAGCACAGAGUAUCAGCCCCCACCCACUGCCCAAUUCCCCAGCACCGACCGCUGAUUUCCCUCCAGCCAGACACAAGACAUCACCAGGGGACGGUGUGUACAUGUCAAGCUGCAGGCAACGGCUCAGACAAUGUUGGGCAGGAUGGGAGGCUCCUGGCCCUAUGUCGCCAUUUCUGCCAGAGAAACACCAUCACCUCAAGAACCAAGCCAGAAGGAGGCAUUGCUGAGUCCCUGGCUCAUGUGAGGGGCCCCACCCUGGCCGCUCCGUUCUGCAGCAGCCCUGGAGCCCACCCUCUGCCGGCAGCCCUGUCCCCAUCCGGAUCCUGGUGCCUCCUCCCACCUCCUGCCACAUUUGGGCCGAGCCUCUUCCCAGAGCCCAGGACAGGUAAAGGAGGUCUCUGCCCCAAACUGACACUGCAAAUACACCAGCCUCAAGAGCACAAGUGCCGGGUGCGGUGGUUCAUGCCUGUAAUCC